rnacentral:rRNA from 1 species
GUCUACAGCCAUACCACCUGAAUGUGCCCGAUCUCUAGUCUGAUCUUGGAAGCUAAGCAGGGUCGGGCCUGGUUAGUACUUGGAUGGGAGACAGUGACUAUGCACUCAAUUCCAGGCUAUUGCCUAUA